CCAUUAUGUUCAGUUAAGAAUGGCAGUUAAGAGGGACCAACUGCCUCUUCAUGUUUCUUGCCUUAGGCUUGCCUCAUGAUGUUGUUUUAGUUUCUCUCAGACAUUGUGUUAUAUGUUUUCUCUCAGUUUAUUAUUAAAGCUUAUUUCCAUUUACGUGAGCCACUUAUUUUUCUCAAAGAAAAAGAAACUGCUGGAGAAUGGUGGAAUAUCCUAAACUUGGGUGAGUGAGGGGAUAUUCCCAGUUUGCUAGGAGGACUGAUUUUGUUCAUCAUCCCCCACCUCCACAUCAGAAUUGAGUUCUUUGUUCCCAAGAUCCAUGGGAGGAGGGUGUAGAUGAAACACUUCAGGAAAACAGCUCCAGGCUAAUGGAAGCUUGAAUGGGGUGAGACAGAGUUAUGAUUUCAAUCCUGUUUAAAGUUAUUUCUAAGAAGAUGCUGAGCCUGUGCUGGGCAGCACAAGACAUUGCAUGGAUAUUUUGGAUGUAUCUUUGAUGCUUUUGUUAUGUUUUUGAAGAAAGUUCUACAAGUAAAGUUCUGAUUUAAACUUAUAGGCCUUGACAAUGUUUCCAUUCCAAAAGGAACAGUUUUCAUGCAUUCAGUCAAUUCAAACUGCACAAUAUUAAUAUCUGCAAUAUGCUCUAGGAAAUGUCACUCCACAACCUGUGGGCCACUACAGAGAAGACUCUCCCUCCCAUUGUCACCAACAGAAUCUGUGCUUGCUGCAGGUCAGCUAGGAGGGUCUAAUAAUAUUCCAGAAGGACAUGAAGGUAUACUAUCAAAACACCAAAUAAAAAGUAGUUUACCCAGUAACAAAUAAAUAUGUUUUGUAUUCAGCAGAAUCUGUUGAAUACAUUAUGAAAAUAAGCCAUAGAAAUUAAAAUUGAUUAUUACAGAUCUGUUACUAGAUUCUUCAACAUAAAAGGAACUGGGGGAAAACAUGUCACGUUCACAUAUUAUUCUAUACAUUUUGCAUGCUGGAUAAGCUGUUAAAAUGUUUUCCACCCCCAGAAUAUUUUGUUCUCAUUUAGACCUAUUUAUAUUUCAGUUCUGCAUAUAUAAGAGGAAUUUCUAUAAACUACAUACAGCAACAAAGACAUUUGUCUUCUAAUCCAUGCCAAAGAAGAGUGCUGCUCAUAUAUCAUGUGCAAACAGUUAAGCUUUCAUCAAUGGAACAACAGUAGCUUCAGUCAUAUGAGCCAAAACAUCAAAAUGAUAUCCAGAUCUUACUCAACAAAUCUGGCAUUCAUUGAAUUGCUAUGUAUACAUUUGAGGUGGGAUUCGCCAUAUCAUUGUCAUUCCCUCUAUUAAGGAUGUUCAGAGACUACUGUGGAUUCUUAUGUAACCAAAACAGAACCACUCAGUACCACCAGAGAGUACCACCAGAUACCAGGGAACCCUAACUUUUGUAGAAAUAUAACAUAUCUUUUUUUAAAAAAACAAAACCAAUGUGGCACAAAAACAACAGUCUAGUGACCAUGCUCAGCACCCACAGAAUGUUGAACUUCUGUUGAAAAUGAAAAAAGAAAAGAAAAUGGGUGUGGAGACCAGAAUGCCCCCUUAAUUAUAGCGUAUAGCUGGCUGAAACAUAAACAGUAGUAGUCCUGUCAGAAGAUGGAUACACUGCAAAACUAUGUUACAAGCUCCACUUAUAUGUGUACUAAAACCAACGUAUGAAAUGAAUGCAGGAAAUAGUUAAUCACUUAUCUUUUUUUCCAGGAAUAAGAAACAACUUGAUACCACCUCAAUUUCUCAUCUCAAAUAAACAUGGUUUCUAUGAAUAACUUCUGGACUUCUGUCUAGAAAGAUAUGAAAGAAUAAGCACUUACUAAGGAGUGUCACCAGAGUAUGCUUCCAUCAUGUUCAGAGUAGGGGCAUGAAUUGUGACCACAGACUGACAAAUCUGUCAUUACACAUCAUCAAGCUUGAACAAGUUACAUCUAAUUAUGACAAGACUGACCCUAUCACUGCUGCCACGCUUGCUUGGGACACAUUGUCUGAAAUCUACCUUCCCAUGCUCAGGGAAUAAGCCAUUUUUUUUAAUAUGCUGCUAUGGGCCAGUACUGAUACUAAUGAUCCUUCUUAUUCUGUGAUACUACCUGCUGUUAGUCUGGUAAAACUGGCCCAGUAACUACCAAAAUGACCAGGAGCACAGCAGGCAGAAGGUACCCUGGAGGGUAUAACAGAGAUGAGGCCAGAAAAAGAAGAUUUUAUCGAUAAAGUAAGACAGAAGCUAUUUUCUAGGUAAAGUACCGUAAAACCUAACAUUACUGAAGGCUGCAUAGGUGGAAAUGGAGUGAGAAGUGAGUUGAUGGCGAGUCCAAGGCAGCUUCAAAGUUAAGUAUGGAGGUGAAAGGUUUUUUUUAGUGGAAUUAUACAUGGGAUAUAACCGUUCCAACGUGAUCAAGCGUUUGUUGCAUCAGGCCUCUGUAUGCAGGCCUCACUAGCUUGUAUGAAACGCCCACUUAUGUCUGAGGGGCUUACAGUAGAACAGGCCCUAUUCUCCCAAUCAAAUUCUGGACCCAAUCUAACACUAGUUCUUUUUUAUGUUAUCUGGGGCUGGAGCUGAUAGUUUUUCAUGGCACGUAUCUGAGAAAGACCUGUACAUCACAACCCAAUGUAUGCUAUCCACCACUGCAGACACGAGAAUUCACGAAAAGAGCCUCUCAUCAACAUGCUGAAAUUUAUGCUGCCACCAAUGAGAAACCAGCCACCCCUUCUCAAAGAUUUUCCCUGUCUCCAGAGCAAAGACGGGGAGAUUAGCUGCCUGAAGCUCAUUCUCUAUUCAACUGAUGAGAUUUUGUGGAGAAGAUCAAUUCUUUGCUCGCUGUGUUUUUCAGUUGUUACCAUAGCAGUGAAACUGGAGUAAUGAGACCUGGUGUGCUGGCAACUAAAGAUGAAGCAAAACACGCCAUUCUCCUUUCUCUUCCUUUAUACCUCUUUAUGCUCACAUUAGGGGAUUUCCCCUUCUCCCCUUCUCCCCUACCCCCCAUUUCUUUCCUUUAGAACCCGUAAGUCAGUAUUCUCUAUAAAACAUUCACAUAUAAGAAGGUGCAUUUUCAGAGAUUCAGAAUUCAAGGGUAUUGCUAGCAGGACCACACUUAGAAAAUUUGUCACAUCAGGAAAUAUAUUAAAAAUGGUGUCUAAAACCACCACCGUUUCUGAAUUUCAGAGUGGGUGGGUUGCGACCUCUCUUUCCUCCAACCUAUCUGGUUCUGCAAGCAACUUUGCAUUUUCCUAUUCUGACAAUUGUGGCAGCUGCCACCAACUGCAAUCCCUGCAUAGUUAUCCUGCGUACUUAUUCUACAUAGUUAUUCAGCAUUUUCCCAUGCAUCUUAGCCCUGGAUCUCGUCAGGCUGCAGUUUUUCAGCCACCCAUGCUUCACCUCUCAUCUCAAUGUAUCAUUGAUCAACUAUUUCAUCCCUCAUAUAGCUGCUCCUAAACUUUGACUGCUGCCAAGUCCAGUGCUGCUUGAGAUGAAGGGCUAAGGUGCAUGGAAGGGCUAAGGUACAUUGGGCAAGGGCAUACAACCUUACUUCUUCUACUCAAACACCCCAAAGCUUUUGAUGCCAUCAACCAUGAUAUCCUUCUGGAUUCAGGGUGGGUGGCAGGGACACUGUUUCACACUGGUUCCUCCUGCCUCCAGGGACUUUUCCAGAAAGUAGCACUGAUAUCAUUCUCUUUAGUCCCUGGAUUUUUACGGUAGUUAUGGGGUGCCACAGAGCACCAUUUUGCCCUCAAUUCUAUUUAAUAUCAACAUUAAACAGUUGGGGAUGUUUUGGGGGGGC
rnacentral:lncRNA from 1 species